AGUGAACGCUGGCGGUAGGCCUAACACAUGCAAGUCGAACGGCAGCACAGUAAGAGCUUGCUCUUACGGGUGGCGAGUGGCGGACGGGUGAGGAAUACAUCGGAAUCUACUUUUUCGUGGGGGAUAACGUAGGGAAACUUACGCUAAUACCGCAUACGACCUACGGGUGAAAGCAGGGGAUCUUCGGACCUUGCGCGAUUGAAUGAGCCGAUGUCGGAUUAGCUAGUUGGCGGGGUAAAGGCCCACCAAGGCGACGAUCCGUAGCUGGUCUGAGAGGAUGAUCAGCCACACUGGAACUGAGACACGGUCCAGACUCCUACGGGAGGCAGCAGUGGGGAAUAUUGGACAAUGGGCGCAAGCCUGAUCCAGCCAUACCGCGUGGGUGAAGAAGGCCUUCGGGUUGUAAAGCCCUUUUGUUGGGAAAUAAAAGCAGCAGGUUAAUACCCCGCUGUUCUGACGGUACCCAAAGAAUAAGCACCGGCGAACUUCGU
rnacentral:rRNA from 1 species